rnacentral:rRNA from 1 species
UACAGAGGGUGCUAGCGUUGUUCGGAAUCAUUGGGCGUAAAGAGCGUGUAGGCGGCCAGGUAGGUCUGCUGUGAAAACUCGAGGCUUAACCUCGAGCUGUCGGCGGAAACCAUCUGGCUAGAGUCCGGAAGAGGAGAAUGGAAUUCCCGGUGUAGCGGUGAAAUGCGCAGAUAUCAGGAGGAACACCAAUGGCGAAGGCAGCUCGCUGGGACGUUACUGACGCUGAGACGCGAAAGCGUGGGGAGCGAACAGG